AACGAACGCUGGCGGCAUGCCUAACACAUGCAAGUCGAACGAUACCUUCGGGUCUAGUGGCGCACGGGUGCGUAACGCGUGGGAACCUGCCCUUAGGUUCGGAAUAACUCCCCGAAAGGGGUGCUAAUACCGGAUAAUGUCUUCGGACCAAAGAUUUAUCGCCUUUGGAUGGGCCCGCGUUGGAUUAGCUAGUUGGUAGGGUAAAAGCCUACCAAGGCGACGAUCCAUAGCUGGUCUGAGAGGAUGAUCAGCCACACUGGGACUGAGACACGGCCCAGACUCCUACGGGAGGCAGCAGUGGGGAAUAUUGGACAAUGGGCGAAAGCCUGACCCAGCAAUGCCGCGUGAGUGAUGAAGGCCUUAGGGUUGUAAAGCUCUUUUACCCGGGAUGAUAAUGACAGUACCGGGAGAAUAAGCGCCGGCUAACUCCGUG
rnacentral:rRNA from 1 species